UAACCUGCCCAAGAGAUCGGGAUAACACCUGGAAACAGAUGCUAAUACCGGAUAACAACAGAUGAUGCCUAUCAACUGUUUAAAAGAUGGUUCCGCUAUCACUCUUGGAUGGACCUGCGGUGCAUUAGCUAGUUGGUAGGGUAACGGCCUACCAAGGCGAUGAUGCAUAGCCGAGUUGAGAGACUGAUCGGCCACAUUGGGACUGAGACACGGCCCAAACUCCUACGGGAGGCAGCAGCA
rnacentral:rRNA from 1 species